rnacentral:rRNA from 1 species
CUGCGAAUGGCUCAUUAAAUCAGUUAUCGUUUAUUUGUAGUACCUUACUACACGGAUAUCUGUGGUAAUUCUAGAGUUAAUACGUGCUAAAAACCUCGACUUCGGAAGGGGUGUAUUUAUUAGACUAAAAACCAACGCCCUUCGGGGCUCCUUGGUGAUUCAUAAUAACUCAACGAAUCGCAUGGCCUUGAGCCGGCGAUGGUUCAUUCAAAUUUCUGCCCUAUCAACUUUCGAUGCUAGGGUAGUGGCCUAGCAUGGUGACAACGGGUAACGGGGGAUUAGGGUUCUAUUCCGGAGAGGGAGCCUGAGAAACGGCUACCACAUCCAAGGAAGGCAGCAGGCGCGCAAAUUACCCAAUCCCGACACGGGGAGGUAGUGACAAUAAAUACUGAUACAGGGCUCUUUUGGGUCUUGUAAUUGGAAUGAGUACGAUUUAAAUACCCUAACGAGGAACAAUUGGAGGGCAAGUCUGGUGCCAGCAGCCGCGGUAAUUCCAGCUCCAAUAGCGUAUAUUAAAGUUGUUGCAGUUAAAACGCUCGUCGUUGAACCUUGGGCCUGGGCGAUCGGUCCCCCUCACCGGGAGCACUGGUUCGGCCGGGCCUUUCCUUCUGGGGAUCCGCAUGCCCUUCGCUGGGCGUGCUGGGGAACCAGGACUUUUACUUUGAAAAAAUUAGAGUGUUCAAAGCAGGCCUUUGCUCGAAUACCUUAGCAUGGAAUAAUAGAAUAGGACGUGCGGUCCUAUUUUGUUGGUUUCUAGGACCGCCGUAAUGAUUAAUAGGGUCAGUCGGGGGCAUCAGUAUUCAAUUGUCAGAGGUGAAAUUCUUAGAUUUAUUGAAGACUAACUACUGCGAAAGCAUUUGCCAAGGAUGUUUUCAUUAAUCAGUGAACGAAAGUUAGGGGAUCGAAGACGAUCAGAUACCGUCGUAGUCCUAACCAUAAACUAUGCCGACUAGGGAUCGGGGUAUACUCAUUUUUGGUUACCUCGGCACCUUACGAAAAUCAAAUGUUUGGUUCUGGGGGGAUUAUCGCAGC